rnacentral:rRNA from 1 species
AUUGAACGCUGGCGGCAUGCUUUACACAUGCAAGUCGAACGGUAACAGGGAGCUUGCUUCGCUGACGAGUGGCGAACGGGUGAGUAAUGCGUCGGAACGUGCCGAGUAGUGGGGGAUAACGCAUCGAAAGGUGUGCUAAUACCGCAUACGAACUGAGGUUGAAAGUGGGGGACCUUCGGGCCUCACGCUAUUCGAGCGGCCGACGUCUGAUUAGCUAGUUGGUGAGGUAAAGGCUCACCAAGGCGACGAUCAGUAGCGGGUCUGAGAGGAUGAUCCGCCACACUGGGACUGAGACACGACCCAGACUCCUACGGGAGGCAGCAGUGGGGAAUUUUGGACAAUGGGCGCAAGCCUGAUCCAGCCAUGCCGCGUGUCUGAAGAAGGCCUUCGGGUUGUAAAGGACUUUUGUCCGGGAGCAAAUGCUGGUGGCUAACAUCCACCGGAGCUGAGAGUACCGGAAGAAUAAGCACCGGCUAACUACGUGCCAGCAGCCGCGGUAAUAC